rnacentral:tRNA from 1 species
AACGGUAUGCCCGAUGUUGGCAAUGGGGCAGGAUUGCAACCCCUGAGAUGCCGGUUCGAUUCCGGCUGCCGUCUCUA